UUAUUAUUAAAAAAAGGGCAGGAAUGAGUAAUCUGUAACUUUAGGUCCCAAUAUUCUUCUUGGGAUUGGUAAAACUAAUUUUUAUUUAUAUUUUUAAAUUCCAACUAAAGUAAAAGAAAAGAAAAAUAGAAAUUAAAAAAAGAAACCCUCAUUUCUCCCUAUAAAUAUCACCCUCAAGCCUCACCUAAAACCUACACCUUUCCUCCUAUCUCUCCCAAAACCAAACCAAACCAAACUAGACCUCUUUCCUUUCUCCUUAACUCCAUUGAUUUUAAUGGGAGUUUCUUUUGUCAAUUCCACAGAACCCUUUUCUCGCUGAUUGGUGAGGAUCCCCAAGCAAAUGUUAUCUAAAUAUAUAUAUACAUUAUUGUACGUUGGUGGGUGUUUAUGGAUGGCCCUCUUUGUAUUCUUCCACAGCUUUCUUGAACUGCAUCUGAGAAAAGAAAGAGAGAAUCUUUACAUUUUUGCAUGAGAGGAAGACUGGUUUUGAAACUUAUAUAUUUCGGCUUCUUUCUCUCUCUCUCUCUCCAUCUCUCUCUCUCUCCGCCUUGUUAAUUGAGUUGCGGUUCAAUAAAGCUGUGGGAAGAUACAAAUAGGGUCAAGAAAAAGUUUUAUCAAGAUCGGGAUUCAUUAGCGAAGUGUUCAUCUGGACCACAAGGUACUGUGCAUAUAUAUACAUAGAUUUAUAUCCUUACUCAUCAUCAUGAAAUUUCACAUCAUUACUAUCUAGCUAGCUUGUUAGUUUUGAAAUAGCAAUCAAUUUAAGAUCUAAACAGAAUGAAUACUUUAGGUAGAUCGAUCUCUGAUUAGUUAGUUUGAUCAAGAUGGUUGAGCAGAAAGAAAUUAAGGGAGAGAGUUUUAUCAAGCUACAUAUAUAUAUAUUGUAAUAGGUGUGGUAGACAAUGCAAAAUAAUCAAAGAAAAGAAGAAAGAAAAAGAGAAAAGUAUUCAAGAUUAUCAGCCACAGAGAAAAGAGUACGAUAUAGAACCAAAGAAAAACUAGAAACUUGUGAGAAAAACAACUGUCAAAAGAUCUCUAAAUAAAUACAUAUCUAAAGCUGUAACAAUGUGUGUGUGUAUAUAUAAAUGUUAUAUGCCUUUAAGAAGUAAUCAUGUGUUCAUGCAUAUUCUGUGAUAAUAUAUAGCAUAUACUUCUGCUUUUUCAUGUGAAGUAAAUAUAUAGAUACACCUCUGAUCUGUACUAGAAAAAAUACCAAGUAUAUUCAUAUAUAAGAUGUCCUAGCAUGCAUAAAGCCAUUUAUUAUUAUGCCAAACAGAUCAUUAAUUUACAGUUCAAUCAGACCAAAAGCUUUUGUGUACAGUAAGAAUAUAAAUACUAAAUAACUGGCAUCUUUCAUGAAAUAUUUAGCUGGAUUUUGCAUAGAUUCGUUUGAGCUUUCACGGGGCCUCCAAUCUCUUGAUCCAAUUAAUAGGCAUCUUUCAUAUGAUCCAACAACCUUUCUUGUUCGAAAAGUAUAUAAAUAUAUAUAUAUAUAUAUUUCUUAAUGUCACCCACUAAUCACACACCUAUGCUAAAUGCCACCCUUUAAUUUGCUGUUCCAACAUCUUUUAACAAUUGUUUAUAUAUAUAUAUAUAUAUAUAUAUAUGAUCCAUCUUUUUGAACGUUUGAUCCUUUUGUUAAUUUGUUGUUUACUGUGAUUAUAAUAUAUGAACUCGUGAAUCAUUGUUUUACUUUAGUUAAGGGUUUAAUUAAUAUAAAGGGCUUUCUUAAUGAGCUCUCUCAUCAUGAUCUUUAUAUUGAUAAUGUGUGUAGACUUAAAGCUAAACAAAGUGGAGACAAAGAACUUUAUUAUGAUCAAAGUUAAUCUCACUUACAGGUUAUGAGGAUUACAAGUCAUUAAGAAGAAAAAGAGGUACUGACUUGUUAUUGUCUUAUUUAAUAUAAAUUGGCUUUAUGUUAAAAGGGACGUUAGUCCAUGAUGAGAACGAUGAAACAUUGAGAGCUAGGACUCUCUCUACACACACAUAUAUAUGUUUGUGGACCAAUUAAUUUAUAUGAUCCGUUUGCAUUUCUUUGUUCUUCCAUCAUUUAGUGGUCUUUUUAUUUGAAAAUGUACUUAUAAAUGUUAACCACUCAUAUAUAUAUAUAUAUAUAUGGUCUAAUAUUAAAAUUACUACUACUUGACCAAUUUGAGAAAUUGAACUUUCAAUUUUUCAAUAUAUAUAUACUCAAUUUUCUCUCAAAAUUAGCUUCAACAAAUAAUCCAUGAAGCUAACUUGGUGGUUAUUAUUAGGUGGCAUUUAUAAUUGUAGAGGUGGUCAUCACUCACUUGUAUAUACAUAUAUAUAAACUGGUUGAGAGGUUGGGCAAUAGUUAUAUAAAUAUAUGCCAAUGGGUGUGACGUGACUGUUCCACUGUUGCCCCAACACAUGGGGGCAGCAUUAUUGCAUCUCUCCAUGCCAUUUCUUUGUCAGUUGGUCAUAUAAAUAAUUUUCCAUAUGGUACUAAUAACUCCACCAGCCAGUUAUUUCUAUAUAUUAAUCCCCUUUACACAAACUGCAUUUCUUUUAAUUUUCAGUAUAUAUGUAUACACACACAUUAAUUAAUUGGAGUGUGUGUAUAUAUAUAUAUAUGUAUGAAUAUAUAUUCCACUCUUUUGUAAAAUGUCGUAUAUACCUUCAUGUGUCAACAUCUUCAAAAGAAUGGCUCAUCUGAUCAUGUCAUGAGUAGAAGUGAUGAAAGAAAGAUGAUACACAUGUACUAAACUGCAAACUCAUUAUCAUCAUCACCAUGGACCGCCUAUAGCACUAGUGAAAUGAUGAUGAAUUUUUAAUUUUAAGAUCGUAUAUAUACACUGAACUUUUAAAAAAGAAAGACCUAAAUCAAGUAAUCCCAUAAUGCACAUGUUGUCUUGGUCAUAGCGAUUGUAAUAUUAUAUUUGUAUAUAUAUAUAUUGAUAGGGUUAAUUUGGAUCGGAUCAUUCGUUUGAUUGUAUAAAGCAUGUCAGUAAAUAAUAAUUUUAAAGUAAUAUAUAAUUGUCAUGUGGCUAAAGUAAUUAAGGGCUCAUCAUGUGUGAAUUUGUUUUUUCUUUUCUUAUAUAUGUAUAUAUAAAUUUCUUUUACAUACUUCACUCUGCAAUUUUUCUAUAUCAUACUAAGAAAAAACGGAAACCCUAAUUAAAUAUAACACCCACCACAUAUAAUAUUUUGUGUCUUCCCACUUAUAAAUCUUUUGCUGGGUUAGAAUUAGUACUCUUUAGUACACCUGAAGAUGUCUAUGAAAGUAUUGCCGUAAUAUAAUAUAUAUAUAUAUAUAUAUAUAUAAAUAUGAUAGUAGAAAAGUGACGAUCGAUGAAGAUGAGAUGAUCAUAGCGAAUAACAUUUUAUCGGAAAGAAAGAAAGAAAGAAAGAAAAAAGUCAAUAGUCAUUGAUCAUGAUCAGGAAUUUGAUAUAAUCAAGCAAUCUAGUUUUGACCAAGUCUCCCCAUAAUCUCAAGUCCCAACGCUAAAAUGUCAAAUUAAUAAAAGCAAUGCAUGUAUUAAUUAUGUGAUAAUAUCAGAAAUAAUAACAAUAUAUGCUGGUAUAUAGUAUACCACGUACUACCUUCUUGAGUUCUUGUUUUUGGAAACAUUCCAAAAGCAUUUAUUUUUUAUUUUUUUCCGACUUUUCUGUGUGGCAAAAUAUAUAAUAAUAAAUAAUUUUCGAGUCAAGUUCUCUGCAUAUAUUACUUUUUGCAGAACAACUUAGGAGAGUACUCCUCAAGCCCUGAUAACUAGGUAGAGAAAGAAAGGUCUCUAUAUAGCUUGUGUUGCAACUUUAAUUUUUCUUUUCUAUUUUAUGCAACAACAGAACCUCCAUGCGGCCUUGUCUGGUCUAAUUUAAUUUAAGCUCAUAUAUAUAUAUAAAUAUAUAUUAUUUUCUGAUCAGUACUCUACCAUAAUUAUUAUUAGGAAUAUUUAAAAAUAUUAGAUCGAUCUAGGCUUUAAUUCUAGCUAGCUUCACGUAAUUAUUUCCUUAACAGGGUACGUUUUGUAUUAGUUUUUUCGUCUACUGUAAUCCAAGUUUAAUUAUUGACUUGAAAUAAGUA